GUAGGUGAACCUGCGGAAGGAUCAUUAUUGAAAUAAACCUGAUGAGUUGCUGCUGGUUCUCCAGGGAGCAUGUGCACACUUGUCAUCUUUAUAUCUCCACCUGUGAACCUUUUGUAGACCUGGAUAUCUCUCUGAAUGCCUGACGAAUUCAGAUUUGAGGAUUGAUUUUUUCCUUCUUUCCUUGCAUUUUCAGGUCUAUGUUUUUCAUAUACCCCUAUGUAUGUUUAUAGAAUGUAAUAAACGGGCCUUUGUGCCUAUAAAACUAUACAACUUUCAGCAACGGAUCUCUUGGCUCUC
rnacentral:misc_RNA from 1 species